UACGUAGGGUGCAAGCGUUAAUCGGAAUUACUGGGCGUAAAGCGUGCGCAGGCGGUUGUGCAAGACCGAUGUGAAAUCCCCGGGCUCAACCUGGGAAUGGCAUUGGUGACUGUACGGCUAGAGUGUGCCAGAGGGGGGUAGAAUUCCACGUGUAGCAGUGAAAUGCGUAGAGAUGUGGAGGAAUACCGAUGGCGAAGGCAGCCCCCUGGGAUAACACUGACGCUCAUGCACGAAAGCGUGGGGAGCAAACAGG
rnacentral:rRNA from 1 species